GCCAUGUCCAUCACCGGGGGCUGCCAUCACCUGCUGCUCCAUGCCAUGAUCUUACUGAGCCAGCUGGGUAUCGCUAUAGGAGGGUGUGAGGAGCACCAUGACAGUCCGGACACUAUUAGACUGGUCUUCAAUGACCUCCCUGAUGGCUAUAUAAAAUGCUGUCAGGGACAGGAGCAGUAGGGGUGCAAGAAGGCCUGUGAAGAAGAGGCCAUGCGAGAUAUAUUAAAUUGUUCAACAGCACCACCUGAUGUCCCAUCCUGGCUGAAUAUUUGAGGCUAGAUCAACGUUCAGGAGUGCCAUCAACAAGGGUCCUUUGA